ensembl:ncRNA asRNA:CR44071 antisense RNA:CR44071
CUCAGCACUGUAGCUGCUCUCGCCCGCCUGAUUGCGAGCCAGACAGGUGUAGACCCCACGGUGCUCGGCGGCUAUGUAGUCGAUAUUCAGGGUGCUCGACUUGCUGGACAUUCGACCGAUCACCACGUCUAGGUCACCACUGUUCAGGGUGUGAUUGUUGAGAACCCACGUAAUAUUGAUGGGCAGAUCCCCCUUGAUCACCGUGCACUGAAUGCCCAUGGUUUCGCCUGAGUUGGAAGCCUCGUCGCCGAAGUCAAAGGGUCGAAUUUGUGGAGGCACUGGACCAUAAAUGGCAGGAUAGGAGUAGGGGAGAGGAGGGGGUAGAAGAAAUAAAGAUAUAACUUAAGUCCC